UUGACCUCGGAUCAGGCAGGGAUACCCGCUGAACUUAAGCAUAUCAAUAAGCGGAGGACAAGAAACCAACAGGGAUUGCCUCAGUAACGGCGAGUGAAGCGGCAACAGCUCAAAUUUGAAAUCUGGCUCUUUUAGGGUCCGAGUUGUAAUUUGUAGAGGAUGCUUCGGCGUCGGCUCCGGUCUAAGUUCCUUGGAACAGGACGUCAUAGAGGGUGAGAAUCCCGUAUGUGAUCGGCUGCCCUUGCCAUGUGAAUGCUCCUUCGACGAGUCUGAGUUGUUUGUGAAUGCAGCUCUAAAUGCGAGGUAAAUUUCUUCUAUAGCUAGAUACUGUCCAGAGACCGGUCGCGCGCACGUAGCAGUGAUCAGAAGAUUAACGCACUUUAGUAAAGAGAGACAAAAAGUACUAGAAAAUAGUUGAAAUGUGAAUCUCUUGCUAACUAAACCUGCCUAGCAGUUGCUCAUCCGA
rnacentral:rRNA from 1 species